UUUUUUAAUAGCGUUGAAAAGAGCCGAUGAGCCGCAAGUGAAACGGGUAGCUUUCUCUUAUAGUCUAUUUUCUCUGGACUUUAUUCAGCUUAAAGGGAUAGGGUUCAUGGGUUGAUUCUCAAGGGAUAGAAAGGGUUUUUCAUGGGUUGAUUCAGGGGACAAAGGCAAGUAUUAAUGGGUGGAUUCAGAGGACAAGGGAAAAGGUUCAUGGGUUGAUUCAGAGGAUAUCUGUUUCUCAGGAGAGCUUCUUCUUUAUCUUUUCUCUUGUGAUCUUUCAAGUCGGUCUUCUGAGUUGGGGUGGACCGCAAGUCAAUGGUGGUAGGAAGUGGAGAUUGUAUGGGCCUUAAACUCAAGCCCAAACCGAAAGCGAUGCGCUCAAAUGAAUCUGGCCUUUCUUUCCUUUUGUCUUGAAAGCUAUAUCCUCCCCGGUGACUUGUUCAACCCACUAACGGCACUUUGGGCGGGCACUUAUGAAAGGCACAGAAAUACCAACCAAAUCAAAGGUAGGAUUCCAGCAUUAAGGGCACAGAAAUACCAAUAUAAAUCAAAGGUAGGAUUCCAGCAUUGAAUAUAUUGUCAGAAAAGAGAAAGAGUCUAUCCUUCUUUCUCCCAAAGACCAAAGCAUAUUGUGGAGCCCUCGGGUCAUCGGAAAUGUUUUAUGCUUCUUUGGCGACCGUGAGAUCACUUUUCUCAGAUCGACUUGCUUUAUAAUGGAAUACAAAUCAAUUAUAGGGAUACUGAAGCGCCUUAUAGGCUUAUAAGCAGCUUUCUAAGUCUGAGUUGCUUGUUGAGUGUUUAUCCUUUCCUUCUCGAUUCAGACAAUACACUGAUUUGUUUACGAAAGGGUUUCAGGGCAAAUACGGAACGAUCGAGCACGCGCCGAUGACUCAUUAUGAAGAAAAGAAUAAUGGAAGCUUUCUAUCCCCGAAACUCACCCACGGCACACUUUAGCCCAUUCGCUUCGCCCGCGGGAAGGCUACAAAGUAGGAAGAGUCCUCUUGAGAGUCUGGUCUUGUAUAAGUUUGGACAUCCCCUUGCAACAUUCGCUCAAUUAGCCAUUUCAUUGGUAUAUUCCCCCGCUAGAAAGAUCGCCUGCAUCAAAGCAUUCUUUUUGGAUUGGAAACUCUUCACAGGAUAGCAUAGUUAGAAUGACAGAUUAGUUGAUUGAUGUCAAAUGUAAAAAGGAGAACCCCGCGCCCUUUCCUGACCACGAUUGGAGAUUCCGUCCAGACAUUUCACCUGCUCACUAGCGCCUUCUCCGACAGAUUCAACACCUCUGCUCUCCCACUCGCUAUCUUAUUCGAUUUUGGAUACGAAAUUCUCCCGAGAAAGAGCCCCCUCCCUUCUGCGGAUUCACUUGCUCAAGCAAGGGCAUUCUGUUCUUCACAUGUUUGCGCACAUAAAGGAACUAUAACAACUCAUACGUCAGCGCAACAUUAGGGAGCUAAAGAAGAUAGGAGUUAUAUAUAUAGGAAUUAGGUAAUCCGGGUUCAUUCCAUGUGUUGUGGCAAGUCAAGUUUGGGGGAGUUGGAGCAAGGGUAGUAAACAAUACUAGCAUGAAAGGCUGGCGAACUCAAUUCAACAGGAAGGAGCUCCGUAAGCAGAAAAGAAAACAGGACUCAUUGUCCCGCUGACUCCACUGGGCAAGAUCGUAUUGUUAUCUUUGCUACCGCUCAGUGUAGUGGGCUAUCCGAACUAUCGAAAACAGGACUUAUAGCACAGAGACAGAGGCACAGUUUGAUUAUAGGACAGAGUGUCAGAAGCCAGAUCUUUAGGUGUGUUCAGUGUCUUUACUUUACUUGGAUCUAUACCUUGUGCUCGGUUUAGUUCAGGGAAAAAGAAAAUAGUACUCUGCCUUUGAAGCGUGGUAUACAUUAUAUGAGUUUGAGUUAGCCGUUGCAGCUUGUCCCGCUUCCGCUCCUUGUUGUUUCGUGGAGUUAUUGGCAGUUGGGGGCCAUUAUCAACAUAAUCAAGGUCAACUUAUCGUCCUGCUGCGACGCCUUGUUCAACUGAUUGUCCUGCUGGAGUAGAGUAAGUAGGCAACAAUACUUAAGUACUUGAGUCUAAGGUUCGGUUAGGAAGCAAUGGAGUGGUUAGGUUCCAAACAAAAAGAACAUGCGAGCGAGAUAGAUUCAAUAAGUCCGUCCGUUUUGAACCGAAGGGGAAGCAGUUGCGCUUAUUGUUGUUGCAGGGUCCUGUAGAGUGAGUCUUGCUAUUCUAUAUGCCUGGCCAUACUUAUUAGUUGCGCUCAAAGUUAAGUAUCAAGUUUUGUAGCCAGUAGAUAUCAUAUUGCAAAGUAGAUAUCAUAUUGCAAAGUCAGGGAGGGGGCCUAUGCCUCUGUCCUGUAAGUUUAGGGUUAAGUUACAUCAAUUCAAAAAAGCACACAAAUAAACAAGCCUUAAAAGGAAGCAAUGCGGGUUGGUUGUCUUUUCCAUUCCUACUUUAUUAUAUGACCAUCCUGUUAUUCAAUUGAUGUUUGAGUUUACUACUUUCUAUUUUCAAGUUGCUCAAAAAAAGAUGAUAAAUGAAUGAUUGAGACAGGACAAGUUCAGGCCAGGCCCAAUUGAAUAAGUAGUCUCCCCCCGAGUUAUUAGACUGAAUCCGCAAUUCGAGUGUCGGUUGCUAACUUAUAUUACGGUUGCUUGUGUUCAUAAGUGUUCAAGGGGAGUUCCAGAAGCCGAAUCGAAGUUCUAAACUGGAAAUUCUGUAUUUGGUUACUUCGGAUCAAGACUAAGUGCUAAGGCGUGAGUUCAAUCUUCAUUACUCAAAGAUUUUACAGCAUUGCAAUCCGAUCUUCUGCGAUAGAUUCCAUUCAUGUUUAAGUAUAGGUAAGUUAUGAAAGUGGUUAAGUAGUUCAGUCGGAAGUCGAAGUAAAAGCCCGCUCACUAACGGGAGCUGCAAGUGUUGAGUCUUGAGUGUGUUUUGAAGCAAGUGAUAGAGUUCCUGAUAGUAUAGUUCAAGUUCGAAAGUUGUCUACGAGAGAUAUAGGUUCAAGUGCUUCCGAUGUUCCAAAGCUUGCUGUUGCUGAUGGGAAUGUAGACCAAAACUCAGGUAAAAGGAAGCUAUUUUCGAAUGCAAGUAAGGGUAAGGCUGGAAAGAUUCUUUGUAUUACUCUAAGGUCUAACAAACAACUCAGAUUAAAGCUAAGGUCUAUGUUAUACGGCAAAAUGAAUGAGUUGGCAAAGGCAAAGCAAGGAAUAGAUACGUUAUAAUGAGUUAUUCCGGUUUCUGUUUCUUGGUUCCAUUUGUAUUUCCCUAUAAUAGGAGUUUCCCGCAGACUCUCUAUCAAUCUGGGUUCAAAGCUCUUCUUAUUUGAGUUGGGCUAUAAAAUGAGGGCAAUAAGGAUUUCCCUUGUAUACGAGUUGGGGCAAACAAGCAGACAAGAUUUCAUGGAGUGGAGGCUUUCUCUUGUAUUCUAUUAGCAAGCAGACGUAAGAGCGGAUGUGCUCUCUGUUCUUGAAUUUGCUGUAGUCCGCUUUACCUUAACUGAGAUGGUACUAGGCAAGGUGAAGGAUUUCAGGCCCCGCCAGUAGGUCUAGACCCGUGAAUAUGCUGAUGCCUAUAUAGGCCCUUUCUUUAAUAAAGUAAUUGUGUGCUGUCAAAGAGGUAUGUACUUAUUAGUUUGGAAGAGUAAUAAAGUAUUAGCAAGAAACCUGCUAUCAAUCUAUCUAAGGGUUUUAGGUGCACUGGUUGUUCUUUGCAGAUCUAUGUGGAUGAGUGUUAGGAAGCAGCUGGGAUUUGUCUUGUACCUAGAGGGCAUGAGGAGCCACCUACUAGUGCAUUAAAGUAGUCAUUUCCUCAUAUAAACAAGUGUAGCGAAGUCAAGGGUAAGGCAAAGGCUUUCAGCACCUUCUUUCUUCUUGGAAAAGGGUGGUCUACGAUCAGUAUAAGAAACAACCGGUGGGGCUCCUGCCGCCGCUAAAUCAUAAAUUGUAAUAAGAAAGGAAAGAUAAGGUACAAAAGUGGGGAAAAGUAGGAAGAUUAAGCGGAUAUAAUAAAUCAAAAAGCUGGAUAGGUGUUCUCGAGACUAUGAAGCCCUAAAGGGUGACGGAGAUCCCGAUGCCUCUGUAGGACUAGCCGAGGGUGUCAUUGGUAUAGGAGAGAGGUUUCCAUGUAUAGAGUGCGCAAGUCAAGCCCGUUGAAAUAGCAGCUAUGCCCCUUGGUCCCGAGCGUUUGAACUAAUGCGAGUCUCUUGAGCGGAGCUCUUUAUGUCAGCUAGUCUAGAUCGAUUCCUAACCUAAUAAGAUUGGCAAAUCUUUGUUUGUUAAGACUGAAUGAAAGACUAAGCCGAAAUGCAAUAAAGAAAGAUCUCAUCACUGCACUUGCUUUCCCUAAACUAUCUCUCCUUAGAAGUAGGGCGAGCCAAAAAGAAGGAAUUCUCUAAUCCGAUAGCCUUACAACAAACAAGCUUGCUUAACGCACUAGCUUUGAGUUCCGACAAAAAAGCUCUUCCAAAGACAAAGCGCAUCGCUCUCAUGCUCGGUAAGUAAAGUCAGUUAUUCGCCUUACUCGUGCAAGUAAACUACCUUUUUAGUACAACCUUUUCUUCGACCAUCCAAUAUCGAAGUUAGUUAGUUAUCGAUGGAUCAUUGAGAACUAGUCUCUAAGUUUGGAGAUGCAUAGGUUCAAGCAUGCAGUCCCAUCUAUUGGUCCAGAGCCUGUUGACGUUAUAGAAUCAUACCAAUCCUAAGUAGCAAGUAUACAAGUGAGCAGUUUCAGAGUUCGAGAUGAGUUAGUAAGAAAGAGAAAAGGGAGCUUAAAGCCUUAGUUUCAAGCAUAGGUCUUGUUGGUAUGGGUUAGAGUCUCUUACUAUUGUGAGUUGGCGAUUCAUAAAGUGUAGUUUCUUUGGGUCCUUGCUUGUUCGUUGGGCAAAAGGGUGAACCGGUGAGCUGUUAGGGCAGCCUAGCUCCUACUGGUAUGGAAGGUAGAGGAGCAGAAGCAACCAACAGAGCAUCUUUUCAACCAGCUAACUUAGCCCUGCCAAUAGCGAGGUCAGGUCUAUCUGGUGUGUAUUCCUCUGGUGGACUGCAAAUAAGGAUUGGCAUCUGGUGGACUUAAGCAAUGAGGUUUCAACAAACAGUAAGGUUCCACAGAGGUUUCAACAAACAGUAAGGUUCCACACUUAUAGCAUAUAUUCCACACUUAUAGCAUAUGCUGGAUAGAAAGAAUUCUUUAGUGAAGCCCGAGUUAUCCGUUUCAUUUCUUUCGCCAAAGUGAGUGAGUUGAGAGAACAAGCAAAGUUGCAACGCGCUAAGAGAGUGGAGUACAUUAGUCUAGGGAUAGUAGCGUAGUCUAGGUAUAGUAGCGGUGGCCUAGCUAAGUGAUGAAAGUGAGAAAUUAGGUAUUGGCAUAAGAAAGUGAGAAAUGAGGUAUUGUCCUAAGAAUAAGAAAUGAAGUGGAGCGUUUACUGCACACAUGCCCUACUUAGUUGUUCCAGAAGUUUCCUACUUAGUUGUUCCAGAAGUUUCCUACUUAGUUGCUCAAGAAGUUUAGAGUAUCUCAGGUAAGGUAUAUUGUUUGUGGCAUGACAACUCUAUUAGUGGCGAAUAGCUUCAUCGGAAAGGACUGGCCGCCUCCUAACCUUGUAGUGUGGGAAUCUCAAUUACUCUAUGUUAUGAGAAUACACUAGUUCACUGAAUCACUGAUGUCGGAUUGAAUGAGGAUGUCUCGAGUUGGCCAGCUAACUACAGCAUCAAAGAAUACUCAUGCUACGUCGAUGCUCAGGUUGGCUCCAUGCGCUUGCUUCCCCUAAACUAGGAUGUGCUUCCUCUCUAGUCAGUCACUUUUCAAUAAGUGCAAAAUAAGCUUUCAUAUCAUCUUGUGUGGAAUCAUUAUAAUGGAAAAGAAAAGCAGAAGGGAUCCAAGAAGUAGAUCUCGUAUAAAGGAAUGGCCAUUGAGACCCAAACACACCUUUGAUCAGAUAAUGCCAAUCGACCGAGCAACGCUCCGAAGGCUGCUUUAGCUAAUACCGAAAGAGGCUAGAGCCAGAGCCUUAAAGUGGCUGUUCUAGUCCGAAAGGUCAAACUCUAUGUGAUUGGCUACGCUUGUUCAUUUCCCCCCUACCCCUGGAUUUCGGUCGCUUCCAAUUGUCGGGUAAUUCAAAGCUAUUCAAAGCAUCUCGAAGG
rnacentral:lncRNA from 1 species